rnacentral:misc_RNA from 1 species
CAGGAGGUUUAUCCCCUACACCACCGCGAACUUACCGAAACGUUGCCUCGGCGGGCGCUCCGGCGCCGGGCUCCCAGGCCCGGCCCGGGGCGCUGUGCCCGCCGGCGGCCCGCUACUCUGCCUCUGCGUGUUGCAUCUCCGAGUAUCGUACAAUGAGUCA